rnacentral:rRNA from 1 species
UACAGAGGGUGCAAGCGUUGUUCGGAAUUAUUGGGCGUAAAGGGAGUGUAGGCGGUUGACUAAGUCUUUUGUGAAAUCUGCGGGCUUAGCCUGACAAAGUGCAGAGGAAACUGGUCGACUAGAGUGUCAGAGAGGAUAGCGGAAUUCCCGGUGUAGAGGUGAAAUUCGUAGAGAUCGGGAGGAACACCAGUGGCGAAGGCGGCUAUCUGGCUGACAACUGACGCUGAGACUCGAAAGCAUGGGGAGCAAACAGG